rnacentral:rRNA from 1 species
AACCUGGUUGAUCCUGCCAGUAGUCAUAUGCUUGUCUCAAAGAUUAAGCCAUGCAUGUCUAAGUAUAAGCUUUUAUACGGCGAAACUGCGAAUGGCUCAUUAAAACAGUUAUAGUUUACUUGAUUUUCAAACCCCCAUGGAUAACCGUGGUAAUUCUAGAGCUAAUACAUGCGAAAAAACAAAUCUUGCGGGCUCUGUUGUAUUUAUUAGAUAACUAACCAAUGAGCUUGGUGAUUCAUAAACUAUCUUCUCUCAUCCGACAUAUCAUUCACCUAAAUGACCUAUCAGCUCUUUGCAGGAAACCUUUUUAGGGGUUUGGCCUUCCGUGGCUAUGACGGGUAACGGGGAAUUAGGGUUCGAAAGUUGAGAGGGUUCCAAAGAAACGGCUACCACAUCUAAGGAAGGCAGCAGGCGCGCAAAUCCCGGUAUCCUUUCCAAGGGGAAAUGUGACUUAAAAUAACUUACCAGGGCUUAACACUCUUGUAAUUGGAAUGAGUGAAGUAUAAACCCCUUUACGAGUAUCAAUUGGAGGGCAAGUCUUUACAGAGCAGUUCAGGUAAUGGAGAUCCCUUGGAGGUAUAAAGAAGUUGUGGAUAUUAAAAAGCUCGUAGUUGGAUUUCUGUUGUAUAAUCUAUAAUAUUACUAAGGUAUAUAUUAUAUUAAUAUCCUCCCCUAGGUUAUAGGACUAAAUAAUUCCAAAACUUUACUUUGAGAAAAUUAGAGUGCUUAAAGCAGGCAACUGCCUUGAAUACUCCAGCAUGGAAUAAUAAGUAAGGACUUUUGUCUUUCUUAUUGGUUCUAGGACAAAAGUAAUGGUUAAUAGGGACAGUUGGGGGCAUUUUGGACCAGCAGGCUAUGGUGAUAUCCUUAGCCUAUUUAAAGUUUUUCUACCCCGAAAGCAUUUGCCAAGGAUGUUUUCAUUAAUCAAGAACGAAAGUUAGGGGAUCGAAGACGAUCAGACCUGGUCGUAGGGCAGAGCAUAAUCUAUGCAAUAGAGAGAAAGGAGGUUGUAACUUACUCCUUCAGCACCUUAUGAGAAAUCAAAGUCUUUGGGUUCUGGGGGGAGUAUGGUCGCAAGGCUUUAACUUAAAUUAAUUGACGAAGGGCACGCACCAGGAGUGGAGCCUGCGGCUUAAUUUGAUUCACACCGUUAAAACUCACCCCGCCCAGACUUAGGAAGGAAUGACAGAUUGAUAGCUCAACCUUGAUUUUAUGGGUGGAAGUGCAUGGUAUAUCUUAGAAGGUGGAGUGAAUUGUCUGGUUAAUUCCGUUAACGAACGUUUCAUUAACUCACUAAAUAAAUAAUAGAAAAAUAUUUUUCACUAGGAUCUGGCUAGAGGUACUGUGCGUGUGUAACGCGAUUAAGUUUGAUUCAAUAACUUCUCUGUGAUGGACUUAGAUGACCUGGGCUCUACGCGCGUUCCACUGAUUUCGCCAACGAGAGUACGUCAGGCUUCGAAUUAGUGGGUAAUUCAUAUGAUUAUGCAUCGUUAUGGGGAUAUUACAUUGUAAUUAUUGAUCUUUAACGAGGAAUUCCUAGUAAGCGCAAGUCAUCAGCUUGCGCUGAUUACGUCCCUGCCCUUUGUACACACCGCCCGUCGCUCCUACCGAUUGAGUGAUUCGGUGAAUAAUUCGGACCAUGCUACGAGUAGCAAAUACAUAGCAAGGAAAGUUUCGUAAAUUAUAUCACUAGACCGAAGCCCUUGUCGUUUCAAGGUUUUCGUAGGUGAACCUGCAGAACCUAAAUA